UCAUAUCGGCGAAAAGAUGGCGUCUUUCUUUAUUUUGAAGAUAAUGCAGGGGUCAUAGUAAACAAUAAAGGUGAAAUGAAGGUUCUGCCAUCACUGGACCAGUUGCAAAGGAAUGUGCAGACUUAUGGCCCAGGAUUGCUUCCAAUGCAGGCAGUAUUGCUUGAUUCUUCGGUGUUUGUA